GUGUGCAUAGUUUAAUUAAAAUCCUAGGUUGUGAUCCUAAUAAUGAGAGCUAAUCCCCCUCUGCCCACC
rnacentral:tRNA from 1 species